UACGUAGGGCGCAAGCGUUGUCCGGAAUUAUUGGGCGUAAAGAGCUCGUAGGCGGCUUGUCACGUCGAUUGUGAAAGCCCGAGGCUUAACCUCGGGUCUGCAGUCGAUACGGGCUAGCUAGAGUGUGGUAGGGGAGAUCGGAAUUCCUGGUGUAGCGGUGAAAUGCGCAGAUAUCUGGAGGAACACCGGUGGCGAAGGCGGCAUCCUGGACCGGUAUUGACGCUGAGGCGCGAAAGCCAGGGGAGCAAACGGG
rnacentral:rRNA from 1 species